GUGGGGAAUAUUGCACAAUGGGCGAAAGCCUGAUGCAGCGACGCCGCGUGAACGAAGAAGUAUUUCGGUAUGUAAAGUUCUAUCAGCAGGGAAGAAGAAAUGACGGUACCUGACUAAGAAGCUCCGGCUAAAUACGUGCCAGCAGCCGCGGUAAUACGUAUGGAGCAAGCGUUAUCCGGAUUUACUGGGUGUAAAGGGAGCGUAGGCGGUCUUAUAAGUCUGAUGUGAAAGCCCGGGGCUCAACCCCGGGACUGCAUUGGAAACUGUAGGACUAGAGUGUCGGAGGGGUAAGUGGAAUUCCUAGUGUAGCGGUGAAAUGCGUAGAUAUUAGGAGGAACACCAGUGGCGAAGGCGGCUUACUGGACGAUUACUGACGCUGAGGCUCGAAAGCGUGGGGAGCAAACAGGAUUAGAUACCCGAGUAGUCCU
rnacentral:rRNA from 1 species